AUAAACAGAGGCAUCUCCAUAGUCAAAAACAGUAUUUAAAAUACUAACGAAAGGAGUUUUAAAAUUGAAAUUGACUUGUUUCAGAAAAGAGUCUGGGAUAAAUGUCCUCAAGCUUUCUGCCUUCAUUACGCCCCGAAUUGUCCUGUUUAGGCUUCUAAUGCCUUGGGCGACAGAGGAAGUCUCCUUCUCAAAAAAAAAAAAACUGAUUAUGUUGCCAUAAAGGGUCCCUUUAAAAAAAAAAACGCUCUAUCCAACGAAAACUAAUUAGAAAUAAAUCUCCUUCCCGAAAGCGAUAAAAUACUAAAGAAUGAGAAACUGACAGUUUACUGAGUUUGUAAG
rnacentral:lncRNA from 1 species